GUAGGGAAUUUAAACACAACGGACAACAAAGACCUUUUGCAAGGGGACCCUGACAAAGGGAGCAGAGGUGCCCGGCCUUGCCAUGGCUCUGGGCAGGGCAGUGAGUGGGGGAAUGAGUCCCAGCACCCCCAGGAGCGGGACACUGCCGCCCCGGCCAGGCAGAGUGAGCCUCGCAGGGCCACCGUCUGACAGCGGAGGGCUCAUCUCGGACUGCUCGGGACUGGCCCUGGUGACUGACAGCACCUCCUUCCCCGCCAGCACCCUGAACCCGCCCUCCACCUGGUAGCUCCCAGUCCUCAGCACAGUACAAGGGAGACAAGUGGCCUCAGGCCAGCAGGAGGGAGUAUCCACGCAGUUUUCAUGCACCAUCAAAGGAAAGAGCGGGCCACAGCCGCCCACCCUAGGCACGCGCUCCUGCCGGCUCCGGGAGCCACAGGCUCCGAGAUGCUGCACGGCCAGGAUGGGGGAGAGAGGUUUUUCAGCUUCUGCUCUUUGAUGCGAGGUGUCUUGUGUUUCCUUGUCACCCUCCGCAAGGGCAUGAGGUCUGGUUCCGACAUUCUAUCACCGAGUGGCAGCCCAGGGGCCACCUGCCCUGGGGAGACAGGCAGGGGGGAGGGGACGAGCCGAGAAGGCGGGGCAAGCGAGAGCUCUCAAAAGGCGAGAGGGCAAAAGCACCACCUGGGCUCAGAGAGCAGCGUGACCAGCUGCCAGCUGCGGGCUCCGUGACCUCGAAUCAAAGGACCCUUUAUUCAACACGCACACAGAAGAAGCACUACCUGGCGGGCUCUGAACUGUCAACUUGCUCCCUGCAGUUGGACCCCAGUAAGUCACGGCUGUGGGGCUCAGCAUUCACACCCGCCCUCCUUUGAUCUGAAACUGUCCUGAAGUUCCCCUUAGGGCUCAAGGCUAAGAGGAUAAGAAUGCACUUUAGAAUGUCGACUAGCUCUGGCUGCCAGGAGAGUUUGCUCACGGAACCUAGCUGGGG